UGAUUCCAAAUAUAGACCUUGUUUUAUUCUGUUUAUAUAAAAUAAUGAAAACCUCUUAUGAAAGAUUUGCAUUGGAUAGCGAGGUGCAUUUUUGGUCCCAAGCAUGUGAAAAUGUUUGCUUAGAAAUCAACUGAUGUUUUCAUUUUUUAUUUUCAAACUGAAUUCUUGUCCAAGAACUCCUGGUAGUAGAAAGUUUUUCAGGGACUUCAUUUGUUUGAUUAA
rnacentral:misc_RNA from 1 species